rnacentral:rRNA from 1 species
AAACACAGGUCUAUGCGAAACCGAAAGGUGAGGUAUAUGGGCUGACGCCUGCCCGGUGCUGGAAGGUUAAGAGGAGAAGUCAGGCAACGAAGCUUCGAAUUUAAGCCCCAGUAAACGGCGGCCGUAACUAUAACGGUCCUAAGGUAGCGAAAUUCCUUGUCGGGUAAGUUCCGACCCGCACGAAAGGCGUAAUGAUUUGAGCACUGUCUCGACAAUGCAUCCGGUGAAAUUGAAGUACCAGUGAAGAUGCUGGUUACCUGCGCCAGGACGGAAAGACCCCAUGGAGCUUUACUCCAGCUUGAUACUGGGAUUCGAUACUGUAUGUACAGGAUAGGUGGGAGACGUUGAGCAUAGAACGCCAGUUUUAUGUGAGUCGCUGUUGGGAUACCACCCUUGCAGUAUUGGAUUUCUAACCUGCACCCAUGACCUGGGUGGGGGACAAUGUCUGGCGGGGAGUUUGACUGGGGCGGUCGCCUCCGAAAGGGUAUCGGAGGCGCUCAAAGGUUCCCUCAGAAUGGUUGGAAACCAUUCGAAGAGUGCAAAGGCAGAAGGGAGCUUGACUGCGACACCGACGGGUGGAGCAGGUACGAAAGUAGGACUUAGUGAUCCGGUGGUAUAAAGUGGGAUUGCCAUCGCUCAACGGAUAAAAGCUACCCUGGGGAUAACAGGCUUAUCACUCCCAAGAGUUCACAUCGACGGAGUGGUUUGGCACCUCGAUGUCGGCUCAUCGCAUCCUGGGGCUGUAGUAGGUCCCAAGGGUUGGGCUGUUCGCCCAUUAAAGCGGUACGCGAGCUGGGUUCAGAACGUCGUGAGACAGUUCGGUCCCUAUCCGGCGCAGGCGGAGGAUAUUUGAGAGGAGCUGUCCUUAGUACGAGAGGACCGGGAUGGACGGACCACUGGUGUAUCUGUUGGCUAUCAGAGCCAUGGCAGAGUAGCCAAGUCCGGCAGGGAUAAACGCUGAAGGCAUCUAAGCGUGAAGCCCCCCUCAAGAUGAGAUAUCCCUCAGAAAUGAGUAAGACCCCUUGAAGACUACGAGGUAGAUAGGAAUGAGGUGUAAGCACAGCAAUGUGUUCAGCUGACAUUUACUAAUCGGUCGAGGGCUUGACCAA